rnacentral:lncRNA from 1 species
GGUUCAUGGUUGAUCUCCAUCACAAUCUGUGGUUCUUCUAUACUCGGGCACUUCAGAACUUCGAAGAGGACUUCCUUGGGUAGUUCAAUCGGAGCCAGUGUAGCCAACUUCAUAUUCUGCUCCAUUAUUUAUCGCAGGAAAUUCGAAGCGCAGCGCGUACUCCAUAAUAAUUCUUUCUGGAUUGACCAAGAUCAGGCCCACGCCUGCACCUGACAUGUUGGAGGAACCGUCUACAUAGAGAGCCCAAAAACCAUCAGGG